UACGGAGGGUGCAAGCGUUAUCCGGAUUCACUGGGCUUAAAGGGUGCGUAGGCGGGCAGGUAAGUCAGUGGUGAAAUCCCCGAGCUUAACUUGGGAACUGCCGUUGAUACUAUCUGUCUUGAAUACCGUGGAGGUGAGCGGAAUAUGUCAUGUAGCGGUGAAAUGCUUAGAUAUGACAUAGAACACCAAUUGCGAAGGCAGCUCGCUACACGAAUAUUGACUCUGAGGCACGAAAGCGUGGGGAUCAAACAGG
rnacentral:rRNA from 1 species